AACGAACGCUGGCGGCAUGCCUAACACAUGCAAGUCGAACGAAGGCUUCGGCCUUAGUGGCGCACGGGUGCGUAACGCGUGGGAAUCUGCCCCUCGGUUCGGAAUAACAGUUAGAAAUGACUGCUAAUACCGGAUGAUGACUUCGGUCCAAAGAUUUAUCGCCGAGGGAUGAGCCCCCGUAGGAUUAGGAAGUUGGUGGGGUAAAGGCCUACCAAGCCGACGAUCCUUAGCUGGUCUGAGAGGAUGAUCAGCCACACUGGGACUGAGACACGGCCCAGACUCCUACGGGAGGCAGCAGUGGGGAAUAUUGGACAAUGGGCGCAAGCCUGAUCCAGCAAUGCCGCGUGAGUGAUGAAGGCCUUAGGGUUGUAAAGCUCUUUUACCCGGGAUGAUAAUGACAGUACCGGGAGAAUAAGCUCCGGCUAACUCCGUGCCAGCAGCCGCCGUAAAAC
rnacentral:rRNA from 1 species